AUGUAUAGUGAUGUUAAAUCUUGCGUAAGGAAUGGGAACGAAGUGUCAACCGUUUUUAACUGUAACAUCGGAGUGAGACAGGGAGAAAACUUAUCCCCCUUUUUAUUUGCUGUUUAUCUAAACGAUCUGGAGUCUUUCUUUGACUGAAAUGAUGUUCAGAACUUGCAAGUUAUCGAAAACAUUUGCCACAAUCAUUUGCAUAUAUAUAUUAAACUUUUCGUUCUUUUGUACGCCGAUGACACUAUAAUUAUAUCUGAAACAGCCGAAUCAAUGCAACACGCCUUAAAUGUUUUUGAAAGAUACUGUGUCCGAUGGAAGUUAAAUGUUAAUUUAUCGAAGACAAAGGUUGUUGUGUUUUGCAAACGGAAAUCAAGAACAUUACCAAAGUUUCAAAUAUUUAACCAGUCUAUUGAAAUUCAAGAUUCUUAUCCAUAUCUAGGACUAACCUUUAAUUACAAUGGUUCAUUUGCAACAGCGAAGAAACGUCUUAGCGAACAAGCACAGAAAGCUCUUUUUAGUCUCUAUACAAAGAUACGUAAUCUCUCUAUACCUGUCGACUUACAAUUACAACUGUUUGAUGCACUUGUACUUCCAAUUCUGACAUAUGGAUGUGAGAUAUGGGGAUUUGGAAAUAAUUACAUGUUGGAAAAAGUCCAUUUGCAGUUUUGCCGGAAUGUGUUGAAAAUUAGAUCGUCGACACCAAAUUUUAUGACAUAUGGAGAACUUGGUCGUACACCAAUAGAUACCGUAAUAAAAUGUAGAAUGGUGUGUUUUUGGAACAAACUUCUCACAAAUGAAAAUAAACUGAGCAGUAUACUUUAUCAAAUUAUGUUCAAAUUAAAAGAUGAUCACACUUUCAAAUGGAUGGAUUAUAUUAAAUCGAUCCUAGACAAUGCCGGACUAAGCUAUGUUUGGACUCAGCAAUCACCAUUAGAUAUAAAUCAACUAAAAAUCGUACUGAAAGAAAAACUAAAAGAUUCAUUCAUUCAACAGUGGCAUAGUCAAAUUGACAACUCAUCCAGAGGAGAAUUUUAUGGACUUUUUAAAACAAUCCUUGGACUAGAAAACUAUCUUUUAAAAUUAACACCAUUCGAACGUAAAUAUAUUUCAAAAUUAAGAUGCUGCAAUUUAAAAAUUCCAGUAGAGUUGGGAAGAUGGUAUAACAUUCCAAAAGAAGAGAGGACAUGUAAUUUGUGUUUAACUGCAAUUGGCAAUGAAUACCAUUAUUUAUUUGAAUGUAAUUCUUUAUUAGUAAAAAAUAUCAGAAAUCAGCAUAUUCCAGAGUACUAUGUGAAAUAUCCGAGUGAAGCAAAAAUGAAAGGACUACUGUCAUUGACUAAUAUUAACGUACUUAAAAACGUAUCUUUAUUCAUUUCAAAGUUAACUAAAAUAUUAUGAUAUUAAAAUAUUAUAAUAUAAGGUAAAGUAAUUUUCUAUAUACAUGUAUUUCAUUUCUAAGUUGUUUCAUUUAUUUCUUUAAUUGUAUGUGAUUGUAUUGUGUAAUUUACCUCUUGUUUCACAUGUCAAUGUGACUGAGUGUUUCUAAAAUAAAG
rnacentral:lncRNA from 1 species